GGCAGGCCGCGGCAGUUGGCCUCACCUGCAAGCUGCUUUAUGGCCAAGGGCAGGGGGCGCUGAGUGAAGUGCAGCCAGUGUUUUC
rnacentral:SRP_RNA from 14 species